rnacentral:snRNA from 1 species
AUCGCUUCUCGGCCUUUUGGCUAAGAUCAAAGUGUAGUAUCUGUUCUUAUCGGUUUAAUCUCCGGUACGACUUCUAUUGAAGUCAUUCGAGAUUAACAGAUUUUUGGGACCAGCGGAGUUGUGAAGGCUUGCCUUCCGCUCGGCCG